CUGGGCUUCCAGCUUCCAAGCCUUCUACCUGUGGAAUGCUUGGUCCAAUGUCUGGGGCACCCACUCUUACUCCAAACUCCUCCAGAUCUGCAGAGUGGCCCAGCAUAUUCUCUUCUUGAAAGGAGGUCUUUGCCUAACAGAAAUGGAAUAAAAAGGCCUACCUCAUUGGGCUCGUGUGGGUGAGGAGAACUGAAGAGUCUGAGAGCGCGGCACGAGCCAGAGGCUACGGAAAACACUGCCCUCCUACACUCCACCUUGGAGAGACCCAGAAAAGAACAAGCUUCAUUUGUAAAAAAGGAAAACAGCUCAUGGGGGUGGCUUAAAGGCACUCUACAGUGUGCAGAUGCCUUCUACUUCUUCCAUCUGCCCUGUCUUUCCAAGAACCCCUAUGGCCCCAGGCUCAGAACAGAGCUGAGUGCAGAAAUGAAAAUCUAUGGCUCUGUGUUCCAAAAUGAUGAAGAAUUUCAAGAUGGUGGCAGUGGUAAAAUCCUUCUCCAGGAAAAAUCUGUCCUUGGCCCAAUGUGUAAACACUUGCUGAGGAACUUGGAAUAACUUGCAGUGUCUUGCAGUAUUGUGAAACCAGCAACUUGUUCACAAUUCUUCUGAAUUUCUUGGGAAAUUUGAAGUGGAGUACCUGUACCAACAUGAAAUGACACGAAUUUAAGUGAAGCUCAACAACGAAAAGCAAAAAGAACCAAAGAGGAAGCAACUGAAACAACAUCUGGAUGUAUUUAAAAAUAUACAAUGCCUCCAAAAUCAGGUGUCAUUAAUGAAAAUUCUGAAGAAAUGCCACCGGACAUAGCCAACACACCUACGCUAUUGUUAUUCAUUUCCUGCUUUUCACAGAAAACAAUUUUGUUGCAUGGAAGAUUGUGAACUUCAAAGAGCAGAGGGGAAACUCUCCCUUGGCCCCUACCCCUCCAAGGCCCCACUUUUUCGUCAACACUCCUUGGACGCAGCAGAAGUAUGAACAUAAUAUGGUCCUGAAUGAGGCUGAGUCUUUGGGCGCAGAAGACCCGGGUUAAUAAAAAUAGGAAGGUAAGAAAAGAAAAGAAAAAUCAAGACACAUCAUAGGACUAAAUUCCUAUUAUUUAUCCACUCAGGAUUGACCACCCUUUUGGGCCAGAUAGUUGUACCCCCAUGUACCAGGUGGGCACAUGAAGACACAAGAAGUGCUGUGAUGGUUCAUUUUGCAUGUCACCUUGCGUGGAGUAUGC
rnacentral:lncRNA from 1 species